rnacentral:lncRNA from 1 species
UCAGCACUGACCGAAGCAUUUAAUUUUACACUUACGAUUUUUGUUGCAAUAUUAUAUUUCCUUUUACAUAUAUAAUCUCGAAUCAAAGACUGCAUAAAGUUCUGCUGAGGGCGUGGUCGAUCCCUCACCAACACCUCAGAUCCUUUCGUGUCAAUUUGGCUAGCUUAUUGAAUAUCACAGUACUGAGAAGAUAUACAUAGCUCGAAUACUUUCCGGCAAGGAACAGAUCGCAGUAGCAGGCCUGCAUAAAGUAUUGGUCCCUUCAGCGGUUGAUGGAUCACCACCACGAGCAGAAGUGAUGGGAUCCAUUCAACAAAGAUCACAAUGAUAAAACUGAGAGAAUGUGACUUUCAGGCAUAUGAAUAUGUAUGGAGCCAAUACUGUUGCCAUUUAUAUACCAGAAACUCUUCAUUGGCGAGUGAUGCAUCAGGCAUCGGCACAGCGAUCUACUGCUGAUGGGGGCUGCACAGAGUCUGGUUGUGAUUCUGCAAUGCCAAGGUGCACUUAUUGGCAUCCUUCUUGCGAUUGGAUGGGCAUGGGCAGGUUUGAUGCGGCGCAGGGAGCUCAGUGUGCGGAGGAAUAUGCCAGGUACAUGCUGCAAUUCCUCAUGCAUUACAGAACCCAGAUCUUAGAUAAGAAGACUUAGAUCUUCAGCUUCUGACUGCUUGCAUGUCAUCAGGAGGUGCCUUAGCAGGAAAAGGGGCCGUGUCGACGCCUGUUGUCAAAGCUGUCAUCUGCAGCGAAAUAAUGAGCGCAAA